rnacentral:rRNA from 1 species
UACGUAGGGAGCAAGCGUUGUCCGGAAUCAUUGGGCGUAAAGCGCGCGUAGGCGGCCCUGUAAGUCCGUUGUGAAAGUCAAAGGCUCAACCUUUGAAAGCCGAUGGAUACUGCAGGGCUAGAGUCCGGAAGAGGCGAGUGGAAUUCCUGGUGUAGCGGUGGAAUGCGUAGAUAUCAAGAGGAACACCUGAGGUGAAGACGGGUUGCUGGGCCGACACUGACGCUGAGUGCGCGAAAGCCAGGGGAGCAAACGGG